rnacentral:rRNA from 1 species
UCGGGAAUUUUGGGCAAUGGGGGAAACCCUGACCCAGCAACGCCGCGUGAAGGAUGAAGUAUUUCGGUAUGUAAACUUCGAAAGAAUAGGAAGAAUAAAUGACGGUACUAUUUAUAAGGUCCGGCUAACUACGUGCCAGCAGCCGCGGUAAUACGUAGGGACCAAGCGUUGUUCGGAUUUACUGGGCGUAAAGGGCGCGUAGGCGGCAUGACAAGUCACUUGUGAAAUCUCUGGGCUUAACCCAGAACGGCCAAGUGGUACUGUCGCGCUAGAGUGCAGAAGGGGCAAUCGGAAUUCUUGGUGUAGCGGUGAAAUGCGUAGAUAUCAAGAGGAACACCUGAGGUGAAGACGGGUUGCUGGGCUGACACUGACGCUGAGACGCGAAAGCGUGGGGAGCAAACAGGAUUAGAUACCCCUGUAGUCCCUGAGCGGGCUGGCAAGGCGCAU